rnacentral:rRNA from 1 species
GAUGAACGCUGGCGGCGUGCCUAACACAUGCAAGUCGAGCGAUCUUCUUCGGAAGAGAGCGGCGGACGGGUGAGUAACGCGUGGGUAACCUGCCCUGUACACACGGAUAACAUACCGAAAGGUAUGCUAAUACGAGAUAAUAUACUUUUAUCGCAUGGUAGAAGCAUCAAAGCUCUGGCGGUACAGGAUGGGCCCGCGUCUGAUUAGCUAGUUGGUAAGGUAACGGCUUACCAAGGCGACGAUCAGUAGCCGACCUGAGAGGGUGAUCGGCCACAUUGGAACUGAGACACGGUCCAAACUCCUACGGGAGGCAGCAGUGGGGAAUAUUGCACAAUGGGCGAAAGCCUGAUGCAGCAACGCCGCGUGAGCGAUGAAGGCCUUCGGGUCGUAAAGCUCUGUCCUCAAGGAAGAUAAUGACGGUACUUGAGGAGGAAGCCCCGGCUAACUACGUGCCAGCAGCCGCGGUAA